rnacentral:rRNA from 1 species
CGUAGGUGGCAAGCGUUGUCCGGAAUUACUGGGCGUAAAGGGUGCGUAGGCGGAUAUUUAAGUGGGAUGUGAAAUACCUGAGCUCAACUCGGGUGCUGCAUUCCAAACUGGAUAUCUAGAGUGCAGGAGAGGAGAAUGGAAUUCCUAGUGUAGCGGUGAAAUGCGUAGAGAUUAGGAAGAACACCAGUGGCGAAGGCGAUUCUCUGGACUGUAACUGACGCUGAGGCACGAAAGCGUGGGUAGCAAACAGGAUU